AUUUGCUUUUGAAAAGCGGCAGGUUGAGGACGCUGGACGCAAAAUUACGUGUAAAUUCCCAAAGGUCGACAUAUUAAUGUAACCGUAUUUUUGGCAUAACUCGUUUGGAAAUAAAACGACGACCAAAAUCGAUGGCAUUUUUAAAGGACAAAUUAUAGCUGUCUUAUCUGGCUUUUUGAACAAAACUUUUCUGGAAGAGAAGGUCGUGCCGAUAAGGCAAUAUACGAAGGGACCUUUUUUUCCAAGCUUAAAUGCUUAUGGUCAGCAUCCGCCUCUAGCUUUCCAAAUCCAUUGGAAUGCUUUAGCAUAGGUGUCUGGUAUUUGCCUUGUGCCGCUACUGUAGAAUACAGUUAAACUUCUGUUGGUGUAAUUCAAAGGAAAAUUUCUAGAAAAGGCGAGCCUUUACCAAAAAAAGCGACUGUCCUGCAAAUCCAUUGGAAUGCUUUAGCAUAGGUGUCUGGUAUUUGCCUUGUGCCGCUACUGUAGAAUAAAGUUAAACUUCUGUUGGUGUAAUUCAAAGGAAAAUUUUUAGAAAAGGCGAGGCUUUACCAAAAAAAGCGACUGGUCAAGGAGUCGCCCUUCUAUGUUCGGGGAAAUGCGUAUUUACCCUUUAUCGUCAUCAUCUGAUAACAUCACAACUGUUACCUGCAUUCUCCACUUUUUCUAAUGUAACAGUCCAGAGAGAUUGAUGCUUAUGUUCAGUAUUCCUUUCAAAUCCAUUGGAAUGUAUUAAUCGCAUCAUGCUUUAGAAUAAUCAUCUGAUGCUGUCAAUAUAGAAUUCCCCUUGACUUGUGGUAGAGCCGUUUAUUUCUGCCAGGAAAUUUGAAAAGAAAAUCUCAGUAAGAGAUGGGCGCAAUGAAUCAUAGCUGAAAAAAGGCGACUAGUCAAAAGGGUCACCAUUCCAUGUUCGCAAUUUUAAAAACUUCUUUUUACCGUCCACCGUCAUCGUCUGAUAACAUCACAACUGUUACGUAGUGUUCACCUAUCUCUUCGCGACCACUACGAUAUGAUAUUAUUAAUGUAAUUGACGGUAAUAUCAGAUUGUAAUGUUCCAAAAUUGAUCGUCACAUUGUAUGCACAUGUCCCAUGAUAAAAGAAAACUGACGAACUCCUUAUUAAUUAUUUCAUCGUACGAACAUUGGUGGAUGGGAGGACUUGAAGUAAAAGAUUUUUGUAAUUAAAAAAAAUAUAUUUUAUUUUCUGUUCCGCUUUGCAGUGUAUAAUAAUACGUUGUCACGUUCUUCUACAUCAGUUAAUUCGACGCUGGAUAAGAGCGACCCCUUCUCCCUGUGCCUUGUGCGUCAAUUUUUAACAAAUUAUCAACAGUCCAUAUGUCCCGUUUGAUAUCAUAGCGUUCAACAGGCCCUUUACCGUCAAUCGCGUAAGUUCCAUUCUCAAUUAUUAAUGCCGAUUGACGGAAUCUGCCAUCAUCGGUACAGGAUAUAAUCUCUCUCACCUGUUAAAGGGUGUAUAAAAACGUUUACAUCGACUAGCGCUAAAAAAUAACCCUUCAAUUCAAUAAAGGGGGAGCAGCCAUAAGAAACGGUGACAAAUAAAUCCAUCGGACCAGUGUUAGAUUUUGUUUACUGUGUUUUUCCUAUAAAAAAUAGUUCAUAAGAUAAGUCGAUUUCAAGUGAUUGGUCGGUGUAGCUAUUUAACGAUUGUUUUUUCAACCUUUACCUAUCAUUCGACAAUGGCAGUUGACUGUAAUAUCAGAUCUUUACACGGCAAAGUAAACUUUACUACUCGGUCGAAAAUUUCUUUUUGAACUAUUUUUACAGCUUAUUUAGCAAUUUUUUUUUAA